GACGAACGCUGGCGGCGUGCUUAACACAUGCAAGUCGAACGAUGAAGCCUUCGGGUGGAUUAGUGGCGAACGGGUGAGUAACACGUGGGUGAUCUGCCCCGCACUUUGGGAUAAGCCUGGGAAACUGGGUCUAAUACCGAAUAUGAUCAUGCUCUUCAUGGGGUGUGGUGGAAAGCUUUUGGGGUGUGGGAUGGGCCCGCGGCCUAUCGUCUUGUUGGUGGGGUAAUGGCCUACCAAGGCGACGACGGGUAGCCGGCCUGAGCGGGGGACCGGGCACACUGGGACUGGGAUACGGCCCAGACUCCUACGGGAGGCAGCAGUGGGGAAUAUUGCACAAUGGGCGCAAGCCUGAUGCAGCGACGCCGCGUGAGGGAUGACGGCCUUCGGGUUGUAAACCUCUUUCAGCAGGGACGAAGCGAAAGUGACGGUACCUGCAGAAGAAGGACCGGCCAACUACGUGCCAGCCGCCGCGGUAA
rnacentral:rRNA from 1 species